rnacentral:lncRNA from 1 species
GACUUGUCCAUUAGAUAAGGGAUCAUAUAUUCCUCCAUUCUAGAUAUCAUAUGGACUGAGACAUGGAUUAUAAUCAUUCUCUCUGUCCAUUUGUUGUUUCCUGAUUUCCGAUUUAUGACGACUGACUAAUUGAACAAAUCAAAUCAGUCCUGGCCCGACCGAGCACUUCCAUUUGUCAUCAUCAAAUCAUCGAGGGGCCCACAUAUAUCACUUUUAUCCCGAAGGUAAAAGGAAUGGAUAAAAGUCGACUCAUAUGGCUUGUUCUACUACUUGUUGAAUCAUACACAAAGACACGUUUUAUAACACCGAGUUACCGAAUAUGUUUUCGUGCAAUCAAUGUACAACCAACUCAUAGUAACAACUCAUAUCUCUAGGUUUGAAGAAUAUAAUAUAUUAUCGUCUCAUGAUCACUCGUGAUAAAUGUGACAACUUGUAAUUAUUCCGUCACUAUAAACCGUUCCCGUUAAAUAAAACCGUUCGUAUUCAAAUUGUUCCGUUAACCUUAGAAUUAAAUUAAUUAAUCGCGACUUUUAAUUCAGUUUCAUAAGUGUCGGGAUGUGUUAUAAACAUUAAAAUAUUUUCCAUAUUUAUUUGGAAAAUUAUUAGUUUGAUCUAAGUCGUGAUUAUGGCAAUUUAUCGGGUACGGCCAAAAGCACCGUCUAACGACAGUAUCGGGUAGAAUUCCACCGGGCCAUAAACUCAACCCCUAUAUAAGGGAUUGAGUGACAUCAUUUUGAAGUUUUUUCUCUCUCUCUAAACACUUUCUCUCACCACUCUCUCUCUAGAAUUCGAAAUUGAUCCAAAAACUCCAUUUCAAGCCUCAAUUUGGUAAGUACUCCAUCCUAGCUUGUUGUUUAACUUGAUUGGCAUGCAAAUUCAUGUUUGAAACUCCCAAAAACACCCAAGAACAAGUGUUUACGAUCUAGGGACCCUCCCAAAACCGUGAACACCCAUUGAGAGGGUUUUGAAGCCCCAAAACCCCUCUAAACCCCUACUAGUGCUUAGAUAUGGCUUAGAAACUUGCAUGCAUGAGCUUAGGACCCCAAAAUCGUGCCAUUUGAGUAUUGGACAUGAGUUAACGUUCCAAGAACAUGCUUGGAAUGUAAACCCACAUUCAUGGACCAUAAAUUCCUUUUAAAGUGUCAAAAUGCCCCUAAACACCUCCUAAUGCUUUCAUGAGAGUGUAGAACCUUAUAAUCCUUCAUGUGAUGCACCAAAACAUAUGAAAAUGGGUCAAACUUGAGUUUACGGCCCAAGAACAUUCUUGGACCGUAAACACAUCUUCUUAGACCAUAAACACCCCCAAAGGGUGUUAAAGUGCCCUUAACACCUUGAAUGGCUUGUAUGUUGGACUAGAAUCACAUGUCAUUAACCUACAACCACUAAAAAGCAUGAUUCAUGGACAAACAUGAGUUUAAGGUAGUAAACCCAUGUGUUUAAGGUAGUAAACUCCCCAAGAACAUCUUCAUAAACCGUAAACUCCUUUUCCUAAGUCAAUUCAAGUCCCAAUCACUUCCUAAGCCAUGAAAUCAACCCUAGAACCUUCCUUUGUGCAUUGUGAUUAACUUAGGACCAUCAAAACACAUUUGAACAUAGAACAUAAGAGUUUACGGCCGUAAACUCAUAGUUUACUUCCGCAAACUCCUCAAAUGGUCCUUAGAAUGCCCAAAUUCCCUUCCAAUGCCACAAAACCAAGACUAGCAUUGCCCCUCAAAUGUAUAAGGCCAUUUAGCAACCAAGAACACCCUCACCAUGAGUUUACGACCGUAAACUCAUGGGGAGUUGGUCAUUUGGACCGUAAACUCUCUUGAGAGUUUACUCUUGAAGAAUAAACUCCAUAUCCAAGCCAUAUACGUCCAUAAAUGUCACCCAGGUCACUCCGAACACUUGUUUUGAAGUGUUUUCGCGUCUGAGAGUGUAUAAUUGUAUUUGAUUAGUGAUUAUAGUCUAAUUAGAUACAUUUGUGUAUCAUUUAAUAUUACAUAGGGACCUCGCACGUUUUCAAGCCCCGAACCGACGUUUAGCAUCCAAACCGACACAAUCCUCGUCCGGUGAGUUCAUAACCCUACCCUUUUUCAAAUGUUUUUCAAUGUUUUCAGGGGAGGGGGGAAUACAAGUAAAAGUACAAGAAUAUCUUGUACUUAAACUUAUUAUUUCAAUUGAAUUUACAAGCAAAAGUACAAGAAUAUCUUGUACUUAUUAUUUCAAUUGAAUUGUUUCAUAUUCCACUUACUUUUAACAAUUGAAACCAUAUUAACCAACUGUUUGACUUGCAGAAUCAGUUUACAAACCGAUUUCAUAUAUCAUCAUAUAAUGUUAUAUUAUAUAUAUAUGUAUAUAUAUAUAUAUAUAUAUAUAUAUAUAUAUUUCACAAAUUAAUUGUUCCAAUAUCAUUAUUGUUAAAAGCAUUAGAUUAGUACAAUUGUUUUGUCCUCGGUAACACUCCACAGAGAUAUGCGAGUGGAGGAUUGUCUUUGAAAAUAGAAUUUAAACAGGAUUUUCCACAUUAUUACUUGUAGAUUUGUUAUUCCUAUAAAUUAGAGACACGUCCUCGGAGAAAACUCCACAGAGAUACGCGAGUGGAGGACCGCCUCUGUAACCAGAAUCUCUUUGUGAGGGAGCGUGACUUGAGUGUAUAGAUUUAUACGGGGCUGACUAACCCGCACCUGGCUGCUAGCUACAGCCAAACCGAAAGGUUCAAGGGUGACGAAAUUCAUAAAUGAUACUGGCCUUCCUUUGCCAUAUCUAGUCUUUAGUAUGGUUAUAGAACUCGCAAUUUGGAUAACAGAGAUUUACUUGUUAGUAAUAAUGAAUAUAGUAAAUUAAUAACCUUUGAAAUUAGUUUACUAUGAUGAUAGUUUUAUAUACGUGUUAAAACUAACAUACACUUCACAAGGAUAAUCAGGUUUUCAGUAUACAUCUUUUACAUUACAUUUCGGAUUGGUAACCAACUUUUAGGAAAAUAUAGGAUUUUCCUGGGGUAACAACUAUUCAUAAUCAGAAUUGUGUAACAUAAUGGAAAACUAAACAUUACUUUUAAGAAAAUAUGGGAUUUUCUUGAAUAACCACUUUUUCAGAAAACAAAAGGAAUCUUGUUCAUUUUCACAAAACAAACCGCUUAUGAACUCACCAGCUUUAAGCUGAUUUCUAAACUGCUUGUAUUCUCAGGUUCUCCUUAGACAGGUAUUCCGCGUUCUUUUGUAGAAGACGGAGCGUAUGGAGUCACGUCUUUCUUUUGUUUAAACUUAUGUAACUACAAAACUUGUAUUACUUUACUUUCAAUCAAAUGUAAUGAAUCUAUGUAAUAUAUUACUUUGUGUUUACUAUGCUUACUAUGUACAUUGGUUGCGAUAUUCAUGACGUCCUCCGCCCUGGAAUAGUACAGUAAUGUGCAAAAAUUUAUAUGUGUGAAUAUAAAUCGUAAGGAUGCACUUGAGAUAAUUAUUACCACUCGUGAAGUCAUUUUCAUCGUGAAACAGAGCUAUGUCUUCACCAAGAGGCAACCAACCAACUAGCAAGGCGCCAACCUUGCAGAUAGACUCUGCUACUUUUCAAGCUGCAGUCACGCCAGCCGUGGCAGCCGUCAUGGCGCAGCUCAAUGCUAACCAUGCCAACAGGCGCGGAGAUGGUGUCAGAAAUACUAACCACACUAACAAUCAAGAACACCAGCGGGUGUCUGCCAACGAAGGCGCCUCAGGCCACAAACCUACGAACAAGAAGCGAAAGUUUUGGGACGAAAAGAAGUGUAACCAACCUCAAAAGUUCGCUGGAAGAAAGCAAUCCGUGGCUGCACCUGCCAUUACAACAGCAGUCACGACACAUGCCUCGACACUAGCCACAAGGUCUGUCAACAAAGCGCCGACCAUACCAUAUAAGGGAUCACUCCCAAAGUGUAACAAGUGUGGCUUCCAUCACAAUGGGGUUUGCCGGGUGAUGCACUAUAAAAACCGCGACAAAAACGGACAUACUGCUCGCUUCUGCAGAAACCAAACCCAACACCUCCCUUCAAUCACCAACACCAAGGUAGGCCCAGUAUGCUACCUAUGCGGUGAAAUGGGACACUUCAAGAGAGAAUGUCCAACUGAGAAGAAUGACAGGGGAGCAGGAGGAGUGUUAUGAACACACCAGCAGGAGCAGCAAGGGAACCAUGUUAGGACUUUUGUAAUGUUUCUAACGACAAAAACGUUUAAGUACCAUAUGUUUGUAAUGCAUUGGGUAUGCUUGCUAAAAUCACCGUCUUUCUAAAAGUAGUUAAGAUACUCUCUCGUUCAAAUCAAACCAAAGACACUCAUAUAUUACCUUAGGAUCAUUACAUGUAAGCUGUGAUGACUUUGUACAUACAUCAGGGUUAAUUAUAAUCAAAAUACUAAAGACUUGAAACAAAUAAUUCCAUCCUGACUCCUGUUCCAUGUCUAGUAGUAGGAUUAGGGUGAAGCCACCCACUCGUUGAUUUCACCAAUAUCAAAUUUCAUACAACGUGCAUAUACCGCUCGAUCAUAGAGCGACCUGUCAGAAAUCAUGUUAUAAAGUAUCAUUACUAACUAUCAGAACACACUCACUACCGGUGCUAGACACUAUGGUAUGAACCAUCUGCGGUAAUAAUAACAUCGAGCAAAACGGAACACACUGAAAAGAAACACAAGAUACUCUAUCACUCUAAUGAGCACUUCUUAUGAAUACAGCUUAACACAUGUUUUACCUAAAGAGAUAUUGUUGUCACCAUUCAAUUUCGAUUGGAAUAGUCCUCAUCUUCCCAGUUUAACGGCUACGAAAGGACCCUUCACCUAACCCACCGAAUAUCGAAACCUUUGUCUCCCAUAAACAUCCAGCAUGGACCACCGGGUCAUCUCUCGCUGUGAAACCCCAAAACACGCACCAGAGGAGUGUUAUACCUCCCGAAACCUUAUCAAAAGUAUUUCCAGGAGACCCUUCGGGAAUGUCACGCAUACAGCAGACAAGGUUCAAGCACAGAAGCUUGGGACGGAUACGUUUACACUUUUUAAAGGCUAUGAAGUCCUUGACUAGAAUACCAUAUACAAACUCAUUUUUAGCAAGAGGAUUGAGGUUCUUGGCAUUAGCAUGGCCGAGACGACGAUGCCAAAGCAUCACAUUGUGUUAUGAGAAUUUUGAGAAAAAACAAGUGACUUGCUCGGGAAUGUUAUGAUUCAUGUCAAUAACAUAGGCAUUCCCUUCUCUUUCAGAUCUAACCAAAAUCCAUUCUUCAGGUAUGAUGAUUCCUGGCUUCAAAAUGAGACACUAUUUGUUUGAAAAAUGAGUCGAAUAGCCUUUAUCACAGAUUUGAGAUACGCUCAACAGACAGUGUUUCAGCUCAGGAACAUAGUUAACAUUCUCAAAGCUAAGCACACCAUUUGUCACUGUACCCUUCUGAAUGAUCUUUCCUCCUUCUCCUCCUGCAAAGGAAACAAACCCCCCAUUAAAAUUCUGAAUUUCUUACAAUUGGGGAUGUCUCCUGUCAUGUGCCUGGAACAACCAUUGUCGACAUACCAAGGUCUGACGAUAUCUCUCCAUAGCUUUUCCAGCACGAUGUGCGGUAUUAAUUAGAUUUAGGAACCUAGGUCAUAGAAACACUAGGUUUUCCCUUGUUAGUAACAGAAUUGACCUUUUCAUUUGUUAAAAUAGAUCGAUUACCAAAUGCACAUAUGGAACGUUGAGGUGAUUGGACAUUUGAAAUUUUGGGCACCCAUUUAUAAUUAGGUUUAGAAACAUUUACAGUUGUUUUUGAAAUGUUUUUCUUUGGUUUUGAUCAUUUGGGUUUCCGUCUAAGAUUAGCCGAAGACCCAGACGAUGUCUUUGAUGAUACUGAUCUUGGCUUAACCACUUUUGGUCUCGUUAAAGUACCUGUUGAAUUUUUGUUUAAAAACCGUUUGUUCUUUUCAAGAUCAGCCCAUUUUCUUUCUUUAUAUGUUCCAAUCACCAUCAACUGAAUGAGAUCUCGACGAUUUUCUCUUAAGAGAUCUUCCUUGUGUGUGACAACCCGAGAUUUCCAUUCUGUACAAACCAUAUCAAGUCAUUAGAAGAUUAGAACAGUUACAGUGAAUUUCCAGACUUUUGGGUAUAAGUUUGAGUAUUUCAGGUUUACACUUAAGGAGAUAUCAGGAGAGUGGAUGCACUAGGGUUUUGUGCAACUCUAUUAUUCCAAAACUCUAUGAUAUUAGAGUUCAUUGCGUGAAUAAAAUAUUUUCUGCCAAAAAUCCCAGGACUAUAUAUAGGAUUCUGAGCCAUAUUUAUUAAUUAGUUACAUUUCCAACUAGAAAAAAGCCGAAUUCUCUCUCAAGGAUCUUCGGACUUUCGUCCCAGAACGUGAGUACAUCUAUCUGUUGGGUUUUGAGCAUUCUAACACUUCCUAAGUGUACAUGCAACCCUAAAUACCUUGGAUCUAUGUUUUCUCUAUUAUACAUGCAAAUAAGAACAUCCAAGGUAUUAUCCUAAUCUAGCAUACAAAAACUAUGAAUGUAACAAGAUAGAAUACAUACCUCUUGAUGUAGCUUGAUGUCUUCAAGCUUUAAGAGCUUAGCCCCAAUAGUGUGGAAGCCUCAAGUGGAAUCACAAAUCACCAAGACACCUUGGAAUACUUUAGAGAAUAUGAUUACUUGGUUCUCUCUAGUGAAAUUGGCUAGCCCUUCUUUAGUGUAUCCACACUAGUGCCAAUUUCACCAACCAAAGACAUCUUUAUAUAGUAUGGAGGAUUAGGGUUAAACCCUAAUACCCAUGACCUUUCAUUUCCUAGGAUCCAUGGGUUAAACACUCCAUGGACUAUCCAUGAAAGCUUAGCCCAACCUAAAUGAACUUGGCCCAUUCCAUAUAUAUAAGAGUCCAUAUUUAAUUAGUUCCUUUUGAUCACUUAAUUAAUUAUAAAUUAAUUCUUGAUCAAUACUAAUUAAAUAAUAUGAUUCCAUAUUAAUAUAUUAGAACUUAUAAUAUAUUAAUAUUAAUCAUAAACAUACUAUUCUCAAAAGAUUAUCCAUAUAAAUUGUGUCGGUGAAGUGCAACCCAAAUGGACCAUGCCGGGUCGGGUCAAGUACAUACCAAAUAUAGUUAUGGACUUAGACAUUAAUCCAACAGUCUCCCACUUGGAUAAGUCUAAAACUAUUAUUGCGUAUGACUUCAAACCUAACUGGCAAUCGUAGCUCUUAAAGCUGCUGUCGAACUCUGAUCUUGUCAACGAACUUGUCCAUUAGAUAAGGGAUCAUAUAUUCCUCCAUUCUAGAUAUCAUAUGGACUGAGACAUGGAUUAUAAUCAUUCUCUCUGUCCAUUUGUUGUUUCCCGAUUUCCGAUUUAUGACGACUGACUAAUUGAACAAAUCAAAUCAGUCCUGGCCCGGCCGAGCACUUCCAUUUGUCAUCAUCAAAUCAUCGAGGGGCCCACAGAUAUCGCUUUUAUCCCGAAGGUAAAAGGAAUGGAUAAACUUCGACUCAUAUGGCUUGUUCUACUACUUGUUGAAUCAUACACAAAGGCACGUUUUAUAGCACCGAGUUACCAAAUGCGUUUUCGUGCAAUCAAUGUACAACCAACUCAUAGUAACAACUCAUAUCUCUAGGUUUGAAGAAUAUAAGAUAUUAUCGUCUCAUGAUCACUCGUGAUAAAAUCCAUGAAGUGAUUCCAAUGAGCGCGGGUUGAAUCCAAUACUCAGAACUUAUGAGCACUCAUGAGUGUUGUAGCCCUUUGUCCAACACCUUAGACCUCUACAAGCCAACCCAUGACAGUCUUAAUUCAUAUCUACUUCCAACAUAUGACCGACUGUGGAUGGUUUGAAUAACUUAGUCAUUCCGGAAGAAUAACCUAGUUUAUUCGGGAAGUCAAAACAUGC